CCUACGGGUGGCAGCAGUGAGGAAUAUUGGUCAAUGGACGAGAGUCUGAACCAGCCAAGUAGCGUGAAGGUUGACUGCCCUAUGGGUUGUAAACUUCUUUUAUAUGGGAAUAAAAUGUUCCCCGUGUGGGAUUUUGUAUGUACCAUAUGAAUAAGGAUCGGCUAACUCCGGGCCAGCAGCCGCGGUAAUACGGAGGAUCCGAGCGUGAUCCGGUUUUAUUGGGUUUAAAGGGAGCGUAGGUGGAUUGUUAAGUAAGUUGUGAAAGUUUGCGGGUCAACCGUAAAAUUGCAGUUGAAACUGGCAGUCGUGAGUACAGUAGAGGUGGGCGGAAUGCGUGGUGUAGCGGUGAAAUGCUUAGAUAUCACGAAGAACUCCGAUUGCGAAGGCAGUUCACUGGACUGCAACUGACACUGAGGCUCGAAAGUGUGGGUAUCAAACAGGAUUAGAUACCCGAGUAGUC
rnacentral:rRNA from 1 species